rfam:Pseudomonas monteilii strain TSDA-ARS-TSMARC-56711, complete genome.
GUUGGAGUCACCGCAAGGUUUCUGGCGCCGCUGGCGCCGGACAUAACUUCGGUGACCUGCCCAGGGCGGGUCACCUCCGGCCACGCCGGACCGUAUCAAACCCGCCGGUGUCGACACCGGC